rnacentral:tRNA from 1 species
GUUUCCAUAGUGUAGUGGUUAUCACGUUAAGCCUUUACAUCGCAAAGGUCCCCAGUUCAAAACUGGGUGGAAACA